AUCAGGAUAUGAAAUUAGAUACAAUAAGCCUCUAGAGUGCCGUGGAUGUGAGAUUUCUGGUGGUAAGUGUGGAUCCCAACCUAUAUCUGGGACUUUUGUUUGCUUCUGCCCAUCUAGUGUCCAUCCAAUGAAUUGCUCCGACGGUAUGUAUCAGAAUCAAGUCCUAGUUUUUCUUUGUUUCAUAGUUAUGAUUUUGUACUAUAGUCGCGGAGUAUAGUUAAGUUACUACCAUCUGCUGAGUAUAGUUAAGUUACUACCAUCUAAAUUCAUUUUGAUUAAUCAAUCAUUUCAAUCAUUUAAAAUCUUAUUGGAUAAGAGACGAGGGACUCAUCUCAUUUUAGAUUUGAUUAUAGGGAUUUUGGCACUUACCCCCCUUGAAAGUUGAAAUUUGCGUUACCCUCCAAUUUUAAAAAUACAGAAGUAAACCCCGCCCCCUAAUUGGACAGGAAAAAAGACGACGUUACAAAAAUCAAUUUUUAAAUUUUUAAAAAAUAAAAUAUUUUUAUAACACCAAAAUUACCCCUCUUUCAAACACGUAAAUAUUAAACAUAAUUAUUAAUACCCUCCACUAAAAUAUAUAUAAUUAACAUUACUCCCCUCCCCCACCACACACACAAAUCGAUUUGCAGAAAAAAAAAAUUAAAUGAGAAGAUACAUUUUUGAGGAAAGAAGAUGAAAUUUGUUUGAGAAAUUUGAAAAAAGAUACUAUAUACUUGUUUCGAUCACCCAUACUUAGUUCUACUUGUUAGCUUUACAUUUAAGAAAAUCUAACUUAGAGGAAAAUUAGGUUUAUUUAUAGAUUUUUGGGGAUUUUGGAGAAGACAACAAAGCCAACGGAUAUAUUUUGAAAUGUAAAUUACGGGUAGUUUUGGUAGCAUGAUGAUUUUUCUUCAUUUUAUGACCGUUGGAUUAAGUAAUAAAUAGAUGGAUAAGAUUUUAACACGUGUCAUCCUUAUCAAAAUAAAGAAGGAUAGUUUUGGUAAUAUAAAAAUAUUUUAUUUAAAAAAAUAAAUUUUGUAACUCUGUCUUUUUUUUCGCCCAAUUAGGGGUUUAUUGCUAUCUUUUUUAAAUUGGGGGUAACGUAAAUUUCAACUUUCAAUGGGGGUAAGUGCCAAAAUCUUUUGAUUAUAAAAGAGCUGAACUGAAAUUAUUCGUUAAUCGGAUGAAUAUUUAAUACUGGUAUACUUUAUAUAUACAAUUAUAAACCCAUUCUCCUAAUCUUUAUUGGAGUAUUAUUUAAUAAGAGACUUGCCUGACUUAGAACAGUACGGCUCUAUCACCCAUAUAUGAUCAUAUUUUGCCAGUUUCGGACCAAAAUACCACGAACAAAUGUCAUUCUGUUGGUAUAUUCACUGUUCCAUUUCUUUAGCCACCCAGCUUUUGAGUAAUACUCCCUUUGUUACGUUAUAGAAAAUCCAACUUACGAAUAUUAUUUUAUAAUUUAUCUAUUAAAUAUAUUUUUAAAUUUAUCCUAAUUAAUUAUUAGAAUGAAUUACUCUAUUUAUUAUUAUUAAAAUAAUUAUUUUAAUACCAAAGCUAGACUGAUAUAGGUAAAAGAACGUAUUAACUUAAUUAAUAUGCAUUCAAAUAUUAUGAAAAAUGACAUAUAUUUUAGGACUACCAAAAAAGAAUAAUGUACUUAUAAUUUAAGACGGAGGGAGUAAUUAUAAUACAAACUUUUAAUAAUUAUUUAAUAAUUAUUGGGACCUACUACUAAGUAGAUUCAUUUUCUUUCAGGUAUACCUUGUACAUAAUUCAUUUAAGAUAAAUAUACCAUGGUGGGCUGGGCUUUAUUAUUAUCAAAUUGCCAAAAGCCAUUAACUAAAUUACUUUGAGUGUCAAGCAGUCCACUAAAAGGCCCAAACUAAAACAAAUUUUAAAAUUAUUUUUGUAUGAUUUAUAUCAAAUUUUAUUUAUUUAUUUAUUGAUUAUUAUUAUUUAUAUUAUUUUUAGAUUUUGAGUUUUUUCCUUUUUACAUCUAUUUUUCAAUUUUAGUUAGACUCAACUAACCAUUACAAAACAAUUGUAUCAUUAAAAGUUAUGAAGGUUACAAAUUCAACAUUUAUUUUUAACAAUUUUGUUCUCAUUAUUAUACAUAUAGACUUAAUAUUUUUUUCUAAUCAUAUUUUUCUUCUCUCUUUUACGUACACAAACCUCUUUUAUUUAAGAGAUCUACAUACUAAAUUAUUCACUUCCUUUUUAUAAUUGAACAUAUAGAUUCAAUAGUGUCCGAUAACAUUUUCAAUAAUUAGUUUUUUUUAGAUAAUAAUAAUAAUAUAGACAAAAUUCAGAAAACAUACAAGAUCCCCAAGAGUAUGAUAAUUGAAAAUAUUACAGAAACAUGGCUCAUACUUAAAAAGGACAAGCUAAAAAAACCCACUCCACAUAAAAACUCGAGCACAACCAAAGCAAAUCAAAACGAACAUUACGCUCAACCAAACCAAAUUGAGUAAGUAUGCAUAUACAAUCCUAUACACCAAAGAUGAAUAAUUGCUGCCGAAGUGCAUCAGUUCACACUCAAAACCUUAAACCCCUAAAGGUUUGUGAAAAAACACCAACAUGGUUAAGGACUGAAAAGGUAACAAGAAGAAAUGAAGACAUUAGACAAAGUAUUAGACUUUGAAGAACCAAAGUUGCAAGAAGAACCAAACAAUCCUAAAUGUGAAAAAGAACCUCUAAUCAUCCAUCAACCUAAAAUGAAGAAAACAACAUAAAUGAAAAUUGAUAAAUGGAAGAGGCAAACUAAAACAAAAAGAAUCUACAAGUGAAGAGAGCCUGGUAGAAAUGAAAUCCCAAACCAAUAUCUCUUAGUAAGAACGAGCAAAUCAAAAGCAUCUAAUAAAGAACAAAUGAACAAUUAUGAAGAUUAGAGAUGAGUAACUGUCGCUUAAACUAACGGCUUGCACCUAAAACCAUAGCUCCCCAAAGGUUUUUAAAAAAAAACACAAACAUAGCCAAUGAUUGAAAUUGCAACCCAAAAAGAAACGUGAUUUGAAGUUCAACCAUCUAAUCAGAUUCGAUAGGAAGUAGAGAAUUUUUUGCAUCUAAACACAUUAAGAAGAGGAAAGAAGGUAGAACAAUAUCAACCAAUCAAAAGCCUACCAACGAUUAUUAUUGGAGACCGACGCAGGUGGCUGGGGAGUUUGUUUCCCAGUUGCUUUUUCUCUCUUAUUGCUUUAAUAGAACCCCUCAAACUAGUGAAUUGAUAGAUGACCCCCUUACAUGACCAUAAUUAAUAUUAGUAUACUAGCUAUAUGUGCCAAUAGUAUUUGUUACAAUAUUCUUUUCAAAUUUAAACUUAUGCCGACUUAAUUCAACUUGUCUCAUUAUAUUGCUUUGUAUGUGGAACCAUUAUUUAGUUACAUCGAUGUUAAACGAGCUCAAAAUUAAGCUCUAUAGCUCGAGCUCGAAGAUAAACGAGCGUCUGAGCCGAGCUUAAGCAAUAAAUAAUUUAGACGAGCCGAUCUUGAAUGAAAAAUUAGGCUCGUAUUCAAACUCGAGGGAAGAUUAGCACACCCUAGAAAUUUUACGAGCCGAGCUUGAACAAUUCAAGCUCGUAAAGCACGGCUCGGUAGCCACGCCCAUUUAUUAAAACGAAUGCUUAGGUUGUGCAAUUAAUACACGGAUUGGUCUUGAUUAUGUUUGGGAUUGGGUCCAGGAAUGCAAGAGGACCUAUCGAAAUGGGUGAAUGGCCCAGGGAGAGGAGGAUCUGGAC
rnacentral:lncRNA from 1 species